rnacentral:rRNA from 1 species
GUGCCAGCCGCCGCGGUAAUACGUAGGGACCAAGCGUUGUUCGGAUUUACUGGGCGUAAAGGGCGCGUAGGCGGCUUUGUAAGUCACUUGUGAAAUCUCCGGGCUUAACUCGGAACGGCCAAGUGAUACUGCAAUGCUAGAGUGCAGAAGGGGCAAUCGGAAUUCUUGGUGUAGCGGUGAAAUGCGUAGAUAUCAAGAGGAACACCUGAGGUGAAGACGGGUUGCUGGGCUGACACUGACGCUGAUGCGCGAAAGCCAGGGGAGCAAACGGGAUUAGAUACCCCAGUAGUCC